UACAGAGGUCUCAAGCGUUGUUCGGAUUCAUUGGGCGUAAAGGGUGCGUAGGCGGCGCGGUAAGUCGGAUGUGAAAUCUCUGAGCUUAACUCCGAAACUGCAUUCGAUACUGCCGUGCUUGAGGACUGGAGAGGAGACUGGAAUUUACGGUGUAGCGGUGAAAUGCGUAGAUAUCGUAAGGAAGACCAGUGGCGAAGGCGGGUCUCUGGACAGUUCCUGACGCUGAGGCACGAAGGCCAGGGGAGCAAACGGG
rnacentral:rRNA from 1 species